rnacentral:lncRNA from 1 species
CCACAUUUUUUUUCUCUUCCCUUUUCUCUUUCCAUAUCCAAACAUGUUUUAAUUAUCAUCUCAAAUCUCCUCUGCUCUUUUGUCCUCUCUACCUGCUUUUUUUUAUCUCUCUCCUUUUGUAUUUGUCUUUAUCCUGUCUUUUAGUCUCUUGUGUGCUGUUGUUGUUUAUUCUAAUUUUUUUCUCUAUCAUGUUUCUGAUGGUUUUCAUCCUUUCUGCACUAUGGCUCUCUUUCUUUUGUUUCACCUUCCUCUUGUUGUAUCCAUGCAGGAUGCUGGAGGGGUUCUGUAUGCCCAAUUAAAUAUGCCACCAAGUAACGAUGAAAAAUUAAAGAGAAAAACCCAACUUGAGAAGGAACCCCAAGUCCUCUAUGCUGCUGUUAAAACACCUCAAUCAGACAAUACAUAUGCUACGGUUAAUAAAAUAUGAGAUUAUUAUUAUUAUUAUUAUUAGUAGUACUAGUAAUAGGAUAAUUUAUGUGGUGAUAUUGUCAAAUAUAAAAUGUCCUGAGACAUGGUCAGGUUCUUUCUCUCCAGUUAGAGACACAUCUACAUGUUUUAAUUUUUAUUUUAUUCAACUAUUGGGAAAGUCUUGAGAAUAUCUGGGAAAUGUCUCAAAAACAUAAAUGUUAUCCACUUUAGUAGCUCUAGUCAGCCAGGUGGAACCAGAAUGUAUUUUCUUCUAAAUUGAAAACUGUGAGAUAAGGUCUGUUCUUCACUAAAAGACCACUUAUUAGUGGGGGUUCUAUAGGGAGGUAUGAAUGUGUAUGCUAUUGUGACAGAACCAACUGCCUGUGAAAUACUUUUAUUGUUCCCUCAUUCGUCUGUUUCUUCGGCUAUUUCCCUGUCCAUUCAGCCCCAAACGCUUGUUUCUUUUAUACCGAACAAUUCACCGAACGGCCGGCCACCCAGCAUGGAAGUGUGCUGCUGGUUAACCUUUUGGCCUCAUUAGAACAUUGUGGUUAACCGCAGACACUUCCUAAUUGUCAAACGCCGACCACGAGGUGGCGGCCAUCUUGGACAUACGAAUGCCGGUCCUUUCGGUAGUUUCUUUUCACGAAUAGACUUAUCCCAGAUUGCUGUACCAUGGAGCCCAUUCGUAUAACUAAAGACUAUGUGAAAGACUUUGGCUCCAUGGCGAUUGAACAGUGUGGGUAUAGGAUCUGAGCGCCAUUCGGUAAUAAUGUGCCCUCAGAUCCAAGCUAUCUGGGGAUGUGUUGAACGUAUCUAUUGCGUUCGGUAGUUUUUGUAUUAUGUAUUUUUAUGUAGUUUCAUUACUCUGUAUAAAAUGGAGUUUAGCCUCUGUCUUCGGAGGAUUUAUUCAUAUGGUGAUUCUCGUUCGGAUGUUUGGAGAGUGUAUGAUUCGUAUGGUUCCUGUUCGGCUGAUUGUUGUGAUCGGUAGUUGCCUUCAUAUUCGGGAAAGGAGCAUUUUACACGGUUUUAACCCUUUUUAUCCCAGGGGUAUCGUAACAACUAUCACUCCCAGUAUCAUGUGUGGCAUUGGGCUGGUACAACACUAGGUUUGAUCAUCUCUGGAGGGAGUAAAUGUAGAGCUGGGUUGCAUGCUAAUUAACCUAGGUGUCUGCCUAGGACCUGGCUUGUGAUGUUAAGCAUGUGUUUAAGCAAAGGGAGAUCAAAUGCAGCAAUUUCCUUCAUCUCCUUCUUAACUUGUGGUAAGGUAUUCCAAAAGAAGUAAAGAGAGACAGUGGGCUUUUGUGAAGGUCCUUAGGGCACAUAUUGCUAAUUUUAGCAUCUUUAUGCAUUGCUAUUGUUUUUAUAUUCCACCCUUUUAUAAUCAUGUUUGUAAUCUAUAUACCUUAUAAAUAGGAAAGUAAAACAGCAAACCAACACCUUAGUGCUGGUAUAUGACCACUUCUGAACAUGUUUAGAUCUUCUAUAUAAAAAGUAAUACACAUAAACAGAUUAUCAUCCUAAUAAUUUCAGGCAAGAUAUAUAUCACCCAUCUAUUCUUAAAGAAUAUAAUAUGAAAGGCUGCGUAGGAUGUAGUCAAUACACAGUGAUGUCUGGAUUGUAGGUGGGGUUUCCAGGGGACAUACGUCUCCCUUGUGCUGUAGGGAAUUAUAUGUAAAGACUAGCGAUAAGGCUCCAUUGGAAUCAAUAAGAGGUGGAUACAUGUUAAAUGAAGAAUAAUUCUACUAAAACUAGCUUUGUAACAGGAACAAAGUUAUAUUAUUUCCCUUGAUGAUCAUUAAACUCCUUCGAACCACGCUAUACAAAUUACAAGGCUUUUACAGAAUGUUAGCACUUUAGAAAUGCCAGUAAUAAAUAAAAUACUAGACUUUAAUGGAAAAGAGCACUAAGCACAAGUGAGCCUUUCUGGGUGUAAAUGUGAGUUUAACUGUCCUGCAUGUGAGCUCGAUAGGAUAAUAAUGAAAUUGAAUGAUCUAUGUUUGUUUGUAUGUACAUUUUGGGGGCUAUAUUGAUAUGUUGAGUUAUACAAUGUUUCUUUUUCUGUACUGUUCAAUUCAUACCUAUCUGACCAGCAAUAUACAGUAUUCAAAUAAAAUAUUUG